CACACGACUCUCGGCAACGGAUAUCUCGGCUCUCGCAUCGAUGAAGAACGUAGCGAAAUGCGAUACCUGGUGUGAAUUGCAGAAUCCCGCGAACCAUCGAGUCUUUGAACGCAAGUUGCGCCCGAGGCCACCUGGCCNAGGGCACGCCUGCCUGGGCGUCACGC
rnacentral:rRNA from 1 species